rnacentral:lncRNA from 1 species
AGGGGGAGACCCUUCUCCCUUCUUCCUACCAAAGAAUCCUGGAGCGAAAUGGUGAAGAUCGUCGGAAAUCGCUUGCGGAAACCGUCAUCGUGCCCGCCACAAUUCCUCGCCGGAGAGGUCGUCGGAGCUCGAGGUAAGCAUGUGGUUCUCUUCCUCUCUUCUUUCCCUUCCUUCCCAUGCUGGUGUGCAUGCUCGUCGGUGACCGGAAUCGUCGGAUUUUAUCAUGAGAAAAGUUUCAAUUUUUUUUUGGUUUUCGGACGCCGGUGGUCGU